rnacentral:rRNA from 1 species
UACGUAGGGGGCUAGCGUUGUCCGGAAUCAUUGGGCGUAAAGAGCGUGUAGGCGGCCCGGUAAGUCAGCUGUGAAAUCUCCGGGCUUAACCCGGAACGGUCAGCUGAUACUGUCGGGCUAGAGUGCAGAAGGGGCAACUGGAAUUCUCGGUGUAGCGGUGAAAUGCGUAGAUAUCGAGAGGAACACCUGCGGCGAAGGCGGGUUGCUGGGCUGACACUGACGCUGAGGCGCGAAAGCUAGGGGAGCGAACGGG